UACGUAGGGUGCGAGCGUUAAUCGGAAUUACUGGGCGUAAAGCGUGCGCAGGCGGCUUCGCAAGUCAGACGUGAAAUCCCCGGGCUUAACCUGGGAAUGGCGUUUGAAACUACGGAGCUGGAGUGUGGCAGAGGGAGGUAGAAUUCCACGUGUAGCGGUGAAAUGCGUAGAUAUGUGGAGGAAUACCGAUGGCGAAGGCAGGCCUCCUGGGCCAACACUGACGCUCAUGCACGAAAGCGUGGGGAGCAAACAGG
rnacentral:rRNA from 1 species